GGGUGCUACACAUGCAGUCGAACGAGAAAGUGGUAGCAUACCACGAGUAAGUGGCGCACGGGUGAGUAACACGUGACUAACCUACCCUUGAGUGGGGGAUAACUGAGGGAAACCUUAGCUAAUACCGCAUAAUACCCACGGGUCAAAGGAGCAAUUCGCUCGAGGAGGGGGUCGCGGCCGGUUAGUUAGUUGGCGGGGUAAUGGCCCACCAAGACGAUGAUCGGUAUCCGGCCUGAGAGGGCGCACGGACACACUGGAACUGAAACACGGUCCAGACUCCUACGGGAGGCAGCAGUGGGGAAUUUUGCGCAAUGGGGGAAACCCUGACGCAGCAACGCCGCGUGGAGGAUGAAGUCCUUCGGGACGUAAACUCCUUUCGAUCGGGACGAUAAUGACGGUACCGGAAGAAGAAGCCCCGGCUAACUUCGUGCCAGCAGCCGCGGUAAUACGAGGGGGGCGAGCGUUGUUCGGAAUUAUUGGGCGUAAAGGGUGCGUAGGCGGUUUGGUAAGUCUUUUGUGAAAUCUCUGGGCUCAACUCAGAGUCUGCAAGGGAAACUGCCGGGCUGGAGUGUGGGAAGGUGAGUGGAAUUUCCGGUGUACGGUGAAAUGCGUAAUUCGGAAGGAACACCUGUGGCGAAAGCGGUCAC
rnacentral:rRNA from 1 species